CCACCAGCAGCAAAAUCCAUUGCUUAACUGACCCUUUAAGAUGAUGGGGUAAUUUUUCUGAGACAAUGGUCAAGGGUGAUGGAGGGCUGUUGUCCCGCAGCAUCUGGCGGGCCACAGGUUCCCUACCCCUGGGUUAAAGGGAGAAUCCAAAGGAGAGGUGGAGCCCAAUCAAGAAGGAACUACCUCCUUGAGGAGACACACUUCAGCGUCUGUUUCACACAGGGCUUAGCUGAACAAUGGAAUAUGCUAUCACACAUUGUAGUGAUGGCCACCAUCUUGAAGGCUUCAAAAGGCAUUUCAUGAAGGACAAGGCUGGCAGUGGCUGCUAGCCAUAAUGACCACGUUCUACCUCCAAAGUUGGGGUCAGUAAGCCUCUGAGGAUCAAUUGCUAGGGCUCACAAGAGUGCUGUUGAACUUGCAUUUUGCUUGUGGGCUUCACAUGGACAGCUGGUUGGCCACUGCGAGAACAGGAUGCUGGACUAGAUGGGGCCUUUGGUCUGAUCCAGUUCUUAAUGGACCAUUGUGAGCAUUGAAUGGGGGCAAAGCACAGAUCCAUGUUCUCCAUAGUGGCCAGAUUUCAGGCUCCUGCCACAGUGCAUUAUCUAUUUGUGGGACUAAAAGACGAAAACGGAAGGUCCAUAUUUGGAUCUGCUCCCUCAACAUGCACAUAUGGAUGCAAGAGUGAAUGGAUCAUGCCCUGUUAUUCAGCAUAAGAACAUUAUUAUUAUUAUUAUUAUUAAUAAUAAUAAUAAUAAUAAUAAUUUUUUAUUUAUACCCCGCCCUCCCCAGCCAAGGCCGGGCUCAGAGCGGCUUACAAGUAAUAAUAAAAACAAGUUGAAUUAUUACAACUUAAAAACAAAAUUAAAAUACAUUAAAAUAUUGAAACAUUAAAAUAUUAAAAUGUAGCCUCAUCGCAGGAGAAAGGAAAGGAAAAAAGAAAGAGAGGGAGGGAAUCAAAUUGCCUCGAAGCCAAAGGCCAGGCGGAACAACUCUGUCUUACAGGCCCUGCGGAAAGAAAUCAGAUCCUGCAGGGCCCUGGUCUCAUGAGGCAGAGCGUUCCACCAGGCUGGAGCCAGAGUUGAAAAGGCCUUGUCUCUGGUUGAAGCCAAUCUAACUUCCUUAGGGCCUGGGACCACUAGGGUGUUGCUGUUUAUGGACCUUGAGGUUCUCCGUGGGGCAUACCGGGAGAGGCGGUCCCGUAGGUACGAGGGUCCUAGGCCGUGAAGGGCUUUAAAGGUCAAAAGCAGCACCUUAAAUCUGACCCUGUACUCUACCGGGAGCCAGUGCAGUUUGAAAAGCACUGGGUGAAUAUGCUCCCAUGGCAGAGACCCCGUGAGGAGCCUCGCUGCAGCAUUCUGCAGCCAGGUUCUCAAAAACAGUAAAACUAUUGAGAAUAAACCCAAGAACUCUAAGUUGACUUGGUUGUGGGUCAGACUGCCUGCAUGAUAGAAUUAGAUAACUCACGCUGAAAAUAAGAGGAAGGAAAAAAAUCACUUCUUGCUUUAUAAGGAGUUUCAGAGUUUUCAAAAUAGAACACAGCAGAUUUUCAGUGGGAACGAGUGAAUUUAAAACUAUUUUAGAUGUUUUUACCAUAAAGACAGCUCAACCUCUCUUGAGCCCAAGAUAACAUCUUCAAGGGGCAUUAUGUACCUAACUGACAUAAAUAAAAUAUUUUAAUUACAGCUAAUAAGGAUUGGAUUUUUGUUUCUGAGCUCCAUAAUGUCAAAUUUGGCAAGCUGCUGGAAGGAAUCUGCACAAUAGGUUUUUCUAUAACUCACUCCGACUGCUAUGUUCAUGUCAGUUUGACCUUGUAAAGAACACAUUGUGCUUAGAGUCUAAAAAGCACAUUCUAACCAAAUGUUCUUGCCUACAGACUUUUCCCAAAACUUUUAGAGUGCAAUUUGCUAGUACCGCAGGAGAAUGAAAGCAAAAGAGAGAAUCAUAAGUCUGGCUUGUACUUUUAACUUUGUCUAAUGUAAUGCAAGGAGAGAGCUCAUUUGCAUUUGCUUAUGGGUGGAAUUGUUCCGAUUUUGCAUUUGCUACAUGAUCACUCCACCCCAAAGCUUCUUUUUGUGCUGCAGCGUAUAAGAGUGUAAGGUCUCCGUACUGCAUAUAUUUACAUAUGCAGCGAAUGUCCCAUUAAAGUCAGCGUAACUCACAGAACUGCAACUAUUUGCAGCCUUCCAGCGCUAUGACUUGAUUACUCCCAACCUUUUGCCUGCGGGCGUGUUUGUUCCACCCCAAUGAAGGAGGAAGACUCUCAAUACUUCCUCCCAAAGGGAGAGAGGGGAGAACUUUUCCAUAUGGCCUUUAUUAGGCCUCAGGGAAGGGUUACCUAUAAAAGAUGGCCUCUCCCUGAGUUCUUACUGUUUCUUAGUUGUGGCACUUCACCCUUUGAAUAGCUUGGCCAGUUGCCACUUGGGGCUUAUUAGGAAUUUUCCAGUGCAUGGACUGCAUACCCCACAAGUUUCCCAGGAAAAAGGGACACCCUGUUUUUUCACAUGAUAGCACAGCAACCAUCUUGGGUGCUGUGAGCUUGCAUGAUGUCAGACCACGACCUCGCCUCCCCAAAAUGCUUUUUUCAGGGCCGCAAUCUCACAAACACAGCAAAAUGUGUGUUUUGGGGUACUGUGCAAGCAAGAAUGGAGGAAUGGAGGCAGUCCUGAAACCCUUUAAGCAUUUCUUUUUAUAAAAAAACCCCACUGUUUCCAUUUGCAAUUUAAUGCAACAAUGUGUACUCUUUCCAUUGAGUGAUCUUGUUUGCAAAAUUUAUAGCCAAAUCAUAUCUAUCUAUAAAUUUGUUCCCUUUAUGGGACAUUUAUGAAGUCCUCAUUCUGAUUGUUGUCCAAUAUAUCUCCACUUCACUUAAGUAUUUUCACCUUCCACUUGUACUUCUGUUUUAGCUUUGUUGCUUGCUUACACUUUUUUAUUGUAAGAAAGUACAGUGGUACCUCGGGUUACACACACUUCAGGUUACAUACGCUUCAGGUUACAGACUCCGUUAACCCAGAAAUAGUGCUUCAGGUUAAGAACUUUGCCUCAGGAUGAGAACAGAAAUCAUGCUCUGGCGGCACAGCAGCAGCGGGAGGCCCCAUUAGCUAAAGUGGUGCUUCAGGUUAAGAACAAUUUCAGGUUAAGAACGGACCUCCGGAACGAAUUAAGUACGUAACCAGAGGUACCACUGUACAGUGUAAGGAAUAUACAGUAAUGCCAAGGACAUAAUUUAGUAAUCUAGAUGCCUGCAGAACAGCAUGUGCCAAGAAGACUAGAUUAAUUCUUAUGUUCCAAAUGCUCCAUGUCACUUUGGUGACAAAUCUCCCCAAAAAACUCAGGUUAAAUGGUCAUAUAAAGAAGGUUUAGUAAUCAUUGUGUGUUACUAGAGUAUAAGAUUUCAUAGAAUUGGGUAUAAGGAAAAUUCUUGAUUCAGCAACUACCAGUUUUUCCCAAUGUAGUUCCAUUCCUUACAUUUUAUGAGCAAGGACUGCAGUUAAAUGUUUCUUACUGAUAAUGGGGGAAUAUUUGUCCAUCUUUUGCAGCCCCAUCCUAUCCAUAUUUAAGCAAGCCACAUUGUGUUCAAGGACACUGGACUGCAGCUUUUGUGGCAACAUUUGGGUUUUCCAUUAUGGAUUGUUAGAAUGGAGAGCUACUUGAGCUUAGAGAAGGGAGAUUUCCACCCCCAGUGGAAUGCCCACUGCCAAUUCUGCCACCGCUGUCUCCUUUUCCCUUGCCCAAGGCAGCCCCACUUAACUUGAGGAAAGGGAAGCUGAGGCAGCAGCAGUGGUGGUGGUAGCUGAGCCCAUCAACACAAAGAGUUCCAUCUUAACUACAUUUCCUGUGGGGCCUCCCCCUUGGCAGGCAUUUCCAGACAAGUUCCAGGCAGCUAGCAGAAAAAGGCAGAUUUAUGCCCACAAACAGGGGUGGUGGGAGCUGGGCAGUGUGAGGAAAAUUAUGGGCUGAGGAGCAGUUUCUACCUUUUACAUUGAAAAGAAACCCCAUGCAGAUCAGGAUUGGUGCAGUGUAAAUUAGAAAGAUUUAAUAGCAGAAUGUGUCAGUAGUCUGUUUCAACAUUCUGAAGCAUGUCCAACCUUUAGAGGAUGGGAGAAGCUCAGGAGUGGGGAAUACAUUGAAUGCUACAUUGUGAUGUUGGUGCUGUGUAUAUGUGACUGGAAUCUGAUUACAGUGGUACGUUGGGUUAAGAACUUAAUUCGUUCUGGAGGUCCGUUCUUCACCUGAAACUGUUCUUAACCUGAGGUACCACUUUAGCUAAUGGGGCCUCCCGCUGCCACCACACAAUUUCUGUUCUCAUCCUGAAGCAAAGUUCUUAACCCAAGGUACUAUUUCUGGGUUAGCAGAGUCUGUAACCGGAAGCAUCUGUAACCCGAGUUACCACUGUAUUAACGUUUUGUAUGAAUGGUGGGAUGAGUUUCUGUAUAAUUUCCCUUAGUAGUUGUGGGAAUGUGUGUUUAUGAAAUGAGACACAUUGAUGUGAUUUGGGGACAGGGGUGUGUGUGUGUAUUGCACCCACCCACUUCAUUCAGAUAUGCAAUAACCCACUUUUUUUUUUUACACAGUUGAAUGUCUGAAUGAAAUGGUUCAUGAAGAUGGUGAGGGAUGAAUGAUAUGAGUAUAAGAGUUUUGGAUUUGAUAUCCCGCCUUUCACUCCCUUUAAGGAGUCUCAAAGCAGCUAACAUUCUCCUUUCCCUUCCUCCCCCACAACAAACACUCUGUGAGGUGAGUGGGGCUGAGAGACUUCAAAGAAGUGUGACUGGCCCAAGGUCACCCAGCAGCUGCAUGUGGAGGACCGGAGAUGCGAACCCGGUUCCCCAGAUUACAAGACUACCGCUCUCAAUCUGAAUGGUAGAGACUGAACAGAGGCAAAUGCUCAGCUGCUAUCCUUCUUGGAAUAUACUGCAUAGUAUAUAUUUAUCUCCUUAUCCUUGAUACAUAAUUUAUCAGAGGAAACUUUAAAUGUCUUUCAAGUUUUUAAUUUUAAACCAGAUCCUCACAUUCCUUUGCCAAGCAGCCAUAUCCAUCAAAAGUCUCAGGAACCACAAGAAAGCACCCGGUUUCCUUGUUCUGACACUCGGCUGGACAAGCUGGCGAAACCACUGUCAGAAUUAUGUAAAGUUGUAAAUAACUAAGUUUUUAGCUCACAGACUAACACUUCAUCCAGAUGUGAUGCAGAAACCACCAAAAGUUGUCUUCAGAUAUAGAUCUCUAUUGAGGCCCCAAUGAAAGGAACUGUGGAGUAACCACAAAGCUGUGAGAUCAUUUAUGAUAUAAACAACCGUGACAAUAAUGAUUUACUUAAACACUAUCAGUUGGCCAGAGAACCAUAUUGUAUGCACGCAGAGAGGGAAGUAGCUUAAUUCUCUAAGAUGAAGUAUUAAAUAUGUUGUCUCCUUCUGACAUCUAGUGCUUUGGAGAGAGAUUAGUGGCACAAUGCUAUGUAUUCUACAACAGGCACGAGGAUAGUUGUGCCAGAUUCAUCUUCACUAAAUUUGUUCCCAAACUCUUUGUUGGUGGUUCCCAAAAUUGAAAAAUGGAGAGACUGUGUAUCAAACACAACAGCUUCAUUUUAUGAACUGUGUGGUGGCAUUAAAGAAAGAUUUAGUGAUUGUAAUUUAUUCCAGAUUUUUGCUAGAAUAAAAGAGUAUAUUUUCUUAGAUGUUUAGCAAGUAGGGAUGGAAGUUGACGUAACUUUGUCAAACUCUGAAUGACUUUGGUAUUCAAAUGUAAGAGUUUACUUCACCUUCAUGUGUAAUUUACCAUUUGCUACAUCCAUCCUGCAGGUUUAAACAAAGAUGUGACCUUAGCUAGGAGAACGUCUUUCACCUUACCUCUAAGGGUCCAGUAUUCAACAACUGCUUGAACAGGUACCACUCCACUUCUUGUAAGUUUGUAGUCUUCCCAGUGCUAUUUUUUUUUAGAAAAAGAGGUGUCGGAACCAGUGCUCUUUUUCUAGAGACACUCAAGGCUAUGAAGUACAGUGGUACCUUGGGUUAAGAACUUAAUUCGUUCUGGAGGUCCGUUCUUAACCUGAAACUGUUCUUAACCUGAAGCAUCACUUUAGCUAAUGGGGCCUCCUGCUGCUGCCGCGCUGCCAGAGCACCAUUUAUAUUCUCAUCCUGAAGCAAAGUUCUUAACCUGAGGUAGUAUUUCUGGGUUAGCAGAGUCUGUAACCUGAAACGUCUGUAAACCGAGGUACCACUGUACUGGCCUCCCCCCCCCCAACAAGGUUAAAAGUGUGUUGCUUACUGUAAUAACUUCAUGGUGAGUACUGGCACAUUUUCCCCUAACAAAAAAGCACUGCCCAGAGCUCACCAUGGAUGCAUCCCUUUUGCCCACCCAAGAGGUGCGGGAACUGAGUUUUCAGCUGGGAAAAAAAAGCCCCGAGUCCUCCUAUUCUACUGGAAAAUCUGGCCUCACCCUGUAUCAAUCUCUUUUACAGAUCUGACCACCUAACAAAUGACCAGCACCUUGCUCAUGGAAUGGUGCAAUGUUUUGAAGACCUUGCUGUGAAAUCCAGAGAUAGCUAAAAUGCCCAUUAAAGUUCUUGGGAAAGUUCUGGUUUGCUAGCUAGGAGAGUACAACCAUCAAACUAAAAAUCUCAGGUCUGAUAGGUAAUUCCAAAGCUCCGAGAAUGGUGACAAGUCUAUAUAAUAUUAGGGAAAGCCUUUAUGGGGCAGAUUUCAUGAGGCCAGAGCAUCAUAAAUAGAGACCCCUUGUGUGUUUCCUUUGCAUCAAGUAUAGAACUCUUCUCGCUUCCAGCUUUCAAUCCCCUCCUUCAGUAUUGCAAUAUAUUAGCCAGCUGAUCCUUUAAUCUCAAUGUGCCAAACUGGAAUCUUUGUUCUCGAGCAAUGCAUCUUUUCCUAAAGCCUGCAUGCUGUCUCAGAGGCUUAUUGCAAUCUCUGCUGUGACUCCUAAGGUAUUUAAUAUAAUGAUUUACCCGGAACCAAGAUAUGCCCAACUUCUCACAAUUUGAAAUUUGCACUUGAAACAAAUUCAGACUUGUUGGGUUGACUGAAUAUUUUUUUUCUGACAUUCCUCAGCAACAGCUAUUUAUUAUUUAAUACUACUGAAUCCCUAAACCUGGCUCUUUUGGUUUUGUAAAUCUGUCAGCAUCCACAAUAGUUGGCAUUUAACCAUCAGAGAAAGUUGAAUUCGGCUUUAUCAUGUUAUCAGAGCUACUUGCUUCUGUCUAAGGGAGUUUAACCUAUUUUAGAGGUUAUUCUGUCAUACUCAGCCACAUGGAUUAAUUUGGGUCUCAGAACCUGUUUUCAGCAUUCUAAUUCAACACAAGAACAUGUAAAAUGAUAUCAAUUGAUGGAGCCCCUUAGAGCAUGUUAUGGUGCCUUUCUGGGAAACCUGUGGCCAAUGUCUCUACACUGAAGCCAGCCAGGAAAAUGUGACAUUUUUAGUUUUAAACACUGGUGGGUUUUUUGACUGGCUGCCUUAUUGAUUGUUGCAUAAGCCAUGUUGUGAUCAGGUUAUAAAUAUUAAAAAUAAAUGACUAAAAUGAGCCAAAGGAAUCUCACCCAUCACUAUCUAUGGUACCUAUAGUGUUUUAUCUGAAAGUAAGGCUGUCAUCAAUAGAAUUCUCACAAUGGAACCCUUGAACCCUAGAUUGUUUCCACACAUACAUGAGUUUCUAGCUAGAUCAGGGUAAUGAUAAUAAAUGUCCCAUAUUUCUUAAAGUGCUUGGUGGACCACACUGUUUGUGUUUCUGCUGUUUGUGAUUUUAUAAUGCUGAAUGGCAAUAAUUACAGGAUUCUGAAAAUUGCAUAUUCCAGACAGUCAAAGAGCUAUAGAUGUACAACAUGUACAAAGAUGAAAAGAGCUAAAUUAAGAUCUAAUAAAGUAACGUUGCCAUUGUCAUAAAGGCUGAAGAGCUACAAGCCAAUAUUUUCCUUAAAUAAAAAGGACAUUCCAAAAAUGGUUUCUGGAAUAUCAAAAGCAUGUUUAAGCCACUUUGUGGAACUUUAAAAUAAUAAAAGCAAAACAGAUUGAAAUAAAUCAAAUGUAAUUGAAGUCUAAACAAAGAAGGGCUGAAACCAUUAGACAUAUGUGCCAUUAAUUUGACACAGACUAAUAUUUUAUAGUCAGGACAUAGUUUCUCUUGGAAUAUUUAGCAUAAGGUAUUAUUAACACCAGAUACCCAAAGGGGUAUUUAUUCCAAUCAUGUAGAGAUUUAUUUUAUUAUCUGUUAGUUCACUUACAAUCUGUAUGUAGGAACACAUGGAAAGUAGGAAACUUGCACAUGAGGAAAUAGUCAUAAGCAUAUACAAAAUGAAAUAUAUUGAAUAUUAGAAAAUAGUCACCUAGUAUAUAUUGCCUAAUAUGUGUUCAAACAAAGGAAAAUCCAUCAGAAGCAGCAAAGGGCAGCGGCACAGAUUUGUGUUUUUGAUGUGUCCCCCCAAAAUGUUUAUUUUUCACAUGACGCACUCAGAGCAGGUGUGAAUAUUUUCCACUCAGUUUUAAAACUCCUUAUUGUCCUUGAAAAAAUUUAAUGUAUUGGGGAGGCGGGGUGGGGUAGGGUAGGGGAUGCAACCACUAGCAACCUUUAGGAAUUAAGCUAUGAAUAAAGCGUUUACAUUUUUUUAAAAAAUGUAAUCUUUUUAUUUUUUCAAAAACCUUGUAGAACUAUUUGUGAGUGCAUGAUUGUUUAAUUUUCAGGUUCUGCUUAUCUGCAAAAAGGUCCUUAUUUUUCUUCUGCAAGGAAGUAUUUUACUAUGUGUCUUAAUACCUUUUUCAUUGUUGGGAAUAUUAAUUGGCAUGUUGAUAAGUCCCCCACCCCACACAGUGUUUUAAAAGUUUCCAUUGCAUGCAUUUAAAGGAAAUUUUACAUCUAGGUUCAGACCCAACAUGUCUGCUAUGUCAGAUUAAGGGACAUUGAAAAGCAAAACAUCGAGUCAGCUGUAAAUAAAAUUUCCUCCCUCAAGUUUUAUUGUUUAAAUCCAACAGAUAACAGGGUCACUUACAUUUCAAAAUUAAUAAUUCCAGUCCAACGCAGGGCCUUUAUGUUAGCCUGACUGAAAGUUUCUCCCUCAGCUUUUGUCAAGGGCAGAUAUUUAAACAUCCCCAGAAACAACAGACAUUGCAGAUUUUUUUUGAAUAUGCUGGACAAAGUAGAACAUAUUCUUUUCUACUGUCCACUGUACAACCAGCUACAUCAUGGCAGAAUGAAAAUAUCAGAUUCCAUCUGUCUGACAUUAACCUGGAGGUAACUGCAAAGGUGGCUGUGUUUUUAUCAAUAGUAUCUCUUAGAGUGGUGAAUGGCACUAUUUAGUGGGAAGAAACUUCAAGGAAACCCCUUGUUAUUACCGUAUUUUUCGCCCUAUAGGACACACUUUUUCCCCUCCAAAAAUGAAGGGGAAACCUGUGUGCGUCCUAUGGGGCAAAUACAGGCUUUUGCUGAAGCUUGGAGAGUGAGAGGGGUCGGUGCGCACUGACCCCUCUCGCUCUCCAGGCUUCAGGAAGCUAUCAGCAAGCCUGGGGAGCCCGCGGGAGUUCCCGCGGGGCUCCCCACGCUGCGGAUAGUAGCCUCCCGCCCGGCGCACGGGGUGCCCUGAAGCAGAGCGCCCCGCGCCAGACAGACAUCCGCAGUGUGGGGAGCCCUGCGGGAGUUCCCGCAGGGCUCCCCACGCUGCGGAUAGCAGCCUGUCGCCCAGCGCAUGGGAUGCCCUGAAGUAGAGCGCCCAGCGCGCCAAGCAGACAUCGGCCAGCCCCACAAGCUCCGGGGACAGCGGGGAGGCACAGCGCCGCCAUCCCGCUGUUCCCCGACCUGGUUUUGGGGGGGAAAUAAAGGAAAAAAUUUUUUCCUUUAUUUCCACCCAAAAAAUUAGGUGCGUCCUAUGGGGCGGAGCAUCCUAUGGGACGAAAAAUACGGUACAUAUUUUUACAUGGUUGUUUAUUUGCAUGUGUUUUAAAAUUUUAUAUAUGGAUGUUUUAUGAUGAUCCAUGCCUAAUAAAGGUUUGGAGAAGUAGGAGUAGUACAUGUCUGCUAUAACACACAGUGUCAGAUUGAAUGCUAGGAAGAAUAUAUAGCUACCAUAUGCUCACAGGGGAACCCACAAGAAUUUAGAAGUGCCUUCAGAAUUUCUUCUCACCAGUGUUGAAGCAAUGAUUCUUCAGCAUCAACUUUGUUGGACUGGUCAUGUUGUGCAGAUGCCUGAUGAUCGUCUUCCAAAGCAACUACUCUAUUCUGAACUUAAAAAUGGAAAGCGUAAUGCUGGUGGUCAACAAAAGAGGUUUAAAGACUGUGUCAAGGCAAAUUUUUAAAAAUAUAGUAUAAACACCAACAACUGGGAAACACUGGCCUGCGAGCACCCCAGUUGGAGAACAGCCUUUACCAAAGGUGUCAUGGGCUUUGAAGACGCUCGAACUCAGGACACAAGGGAGAAACGUGCUAGGAGGAAGGAACGCUUGGCAAAUCCACACCGUGUUCAACUCCCACCAACGUCUUCACUGUGGAAAGAUGUGUGGAUCCAGAAUUGGCCUCCACAGACACUUACGGACUCAUUGUUAAAACCGUGUUUAUGGAAGACAAUCUUACUCGACUAUGAGUGAUCGCUAAAGAAGAAGAAGAUUUCUUCUCACAGAAGCAAUGGGGUCAUCUGGAAGACAGGCUGGUCUGGUACAUGAACCCUUUGUUAGAUAAUCUAGGUUCAGACAAUCACUGGCCCCAGGUAGUAGUAGUAGUAGUAGUAGUAGUAGUAGUAGUAGUAGAUAAAUAAAGUCAUCCAGUAAAUAUUAUGGCUGUGAAUCCAGGUCUCCUCAACCAAAGUCCAACAUGCAGGCUGCCACACAACCCUUUGCUAUUUCUUGCAUUUUUCAACUUUCCAUGGGGAUGUGGCUCUGUAGUGUCUUUGGGAGUAUGAAUCUGGGGGCUUUGAAAUGAGCCCCUGCAUUUCAAAAUUUACCAUUGCACUACUGCUUACUCAGAUCUCUUCCCAAUAAAGUUUUGUUUAUCAUAGCAAGGAAAUUAAGGGACAAAGAAUCAUAGAAUCAUAGAAUCAUAGAAUCAUAGAAUCAUAGAAUCAUAGAGUUGGAAGAGACCACAAGGGCCAUCGAGUCCAACCCCCUGCCAAGCAGGAAACACCAUCAGAGCACUCCUGACAUAUGGUUGUCAAGCCUCUGCUUAAAGACCUCCAAAGAAGGAGACUCCACCACACUCCUUGGCAGCAAAUUCCACUGUCAAACAGCUCUUACUGUCAGGAAGUUCUUCCUAAUGUUUAGGUGGAAUCUUCUUUCUUGUAGUUUGGAUCCAUUGCUCCGUGUCCGCUUCUCUGGAGCAGCAGAAAACAACCUUUCUCCCUCCUCUAUGUGACAUCCUUUUAUAUAUUUGAACAUGGCUAUCAUAUCACCCCUUAACCUCCUCUUCUCCAGGCUAAACAUGCCCAGCUCUCUUAGCCGUUCCUCAUAAGGCAUCGUUUCCAGGCCUUUGACCAUUUUGGUUGCCCUCCUCUGGACACGUUCCAGUUUGUCAAUGUCCUUCUUGAACUGUGGUGCCCAGAACUGGACACAGUACUCCAGGUGAGGUCUGACCAGAGCAGAAUACAGUGGCACUAUUACUUCCCUUGAUCUAGAUGCUAUACUCCUAUUGAUGCAGCCCAGAAUUGCAUUGGCUUUUUAGCUGCCGCGUCACACUGUUGGCUCAUGUCAAGUUUGUGGUCAACCAAGACUCCUAGAUCCUUUUCACAUGUACUGCUCUCAAGCCAGGUGUCCCCCAUCUUGUAUUUGUGCCUCUCAUUUUUUUUGCCCAAGUGCAAUACUUUACAUUUCUCCCUGUUAAAAUUCAUCUUGUUUGUUUUGGCCCAGUUCUCUAAUCUGUCAAGGUCGUUUUGAAGUGUGAUCCUGUCCUCUGGGGUGUUAGCCACCCCUCCCAAUUUGGUGUCAUCUGCAAAUUUGAUCAGGAUGCCCUUGAGUCCAUCAUCCAAGUCGUUGAUAAAGAUGUUGAAUAAGACCGGGCCCAAGACAGAACCCUGUGGCACCCCACUAGUCACUCUUCUCCAGGAUGAAGAGGAACCAUUGAUGAGCACCCUUUGGGUUCGGUCAGUCAGCCAGUUACAAAUCCACUGAGUGGUAGCAUAGUCAAGACCGCAUUUUACCAGCUUCUUUACAAGAAUAUCAUGAGGCACCUUGUCAAAUGCCUUGCUGAAAUCAAGGUAGGCUACAUCCACUGCGUUCCCUUCAUCUACCAGGCUUGUAAUUCUGUCAAAAACGAGAUCAGGUUAGUCUGACAUGACUUAUUUUUCAGAAAUCCAUGCUGACUGUUGGUGAUCACAGCAUUCCUUUCUAGGUGCUCACAGACUGUUUGCUUAAUGAUCUGCUCCAGAAUCUUCCCUGGUAUUGAUGUCAGACUGACUGGGCGGUAAUUAUUUGGGUCCUCUCUUUUCCCCUUUUUGAAAAUAGGGACAACAUUUGCCCUCCUCCAGUCUGCCGGGACUUCGCCUGUUCUCCAGGAAUUCUCAAAGAUGACUGCCAGUGGUUCUGAGAUCACAUCUGCCAGUUCUUUUAAUACUCUUGGAUGCAGUUCAUCUGGCCCUUGAGACUUGAAUACAUCUAAACUAGCCAAGUAUUCUUGUACUAUGUCCUUAGUUAUUCUGGGCUGUGUUUCCUUUGCUGAAUCAUUUGCUCCAAAUUCUUCAGGUCGGGCAUUGUUUUCUUUAUCGGAGAAGACUGAGGCAAAGAAGGCAUUGAGGAGUUCAGCCCUUUCUGUGUCCCCUGUUUGCAUUUCACCAUCUUCUCCUCUGAGUGACCCCACUGUUUCUUUGUUCUUCCUUUUGCUACGGACAUACCCAUAAAAGCCUUUUUGUUGCUUUUAACCUCUCUAGCAAUCCUGAGGUUAUGCUGUGCUUUUGCUUUUCUGACUUUGUGUCUACACGUGCUGGCUAUUUGUUUGAAUUCCUCUUUGGUGGUUUCCCCCUUUUCCAUUUUUGUACACAUCCUUUUUAAUCUUAACUCAGUUAAAAGUUCUUUAGAUAGCCACCCUGGCUUCUUUAGGCACCUUCCAUGUUUCUGUCUCAUUGGUAUUGCCUGACGUUGUGCUUUUAGUAUCUCCCUCUUAACAAACUCCCAGCCAUCAUGAACUCCCUUUCCUUUUAGUAUUACUGUCCAUGGGAUCUCACCCAGCACUUCCCUAAGUUUUAUGAAGUCAGCUUUCUUAAAGUCAAGAAAUUGAGUCCUAGUAUGCUUGGCUGCUCCUUUCCGCUGUAUAGUAAACUUCAGAAGAGCAUGAUCACUUGCGCCUAAUGAUCCUUCCACUUCUACCCCACUAACCAGGUCAUCAACAUUGGUUAGGACCAGAUCUAAAAUGGCUGUUCCUCUUGUUGCUUCUCCCACUUUCUGGACAAUGAAGUUGUCUGCAAGGCCAGUGAGGAAUCUGUUUGACCUUAUGCUCUUGGCUGAGUUUGACAUCCAACAAAUAUCCGGGUAAUUGAAGUCCCCCAUUACUACUAUCUCCCUUCCUUUUGCAUGCUUGGCCAUCUGUUCCAGGAAGGCAUCAUCUAUGUCCUCCGUUUGGCUUGGGGAUCUGUAGUAAACUCCCACAAUGAGGUCACUGUUAUUCUUCUCUCCCUUAAUUUUGACCCAAAUGCUCUCACUUUGGUUUUGAGGUUCUAAAUCUUGGAUCUCUUCACAGGUAUACACAUCCCUGACAUAUAACGCCACUCCUCCUCCUUUCUUGUCUGGUCUGUUUCUCUGAAAUAGAUUGUAUCCCCCCAUUAUUACAUUCCAAUCGUGGGACUUAUCCCACCAGGUUUCAGUGAUGCCUAUUAUGUCAUAUUUAGUUUGCUGUACCAAGAGCUCAAGCUCAUCUUGUUUAUUUCCCAUGCUUUGCGCAUUAGUGUACAGACAUUGAAGUCCAUUAAUCAUUCCCCGUGACUCUUAUUUAAGGAUUUUUCCUCCCACCACUAGGUCUGUGUGCUGUUUGCUCCAUUUGGUCUAUGACAUUUGGAUGAUCAUCUUCAUCAAUUGAUAGACUCCUACCUUCAGGAGCACUGUCUCCCUCCCCACAUUAGUCAGUUUAAAGCCCUCCUGAUGAGGUUUCUGAGAUUUUGGCAAAAACAUUUCUCCCAACCGUUGUGAGGUGCAGCCCAUCGCUUGCCAGAAGUCCAUCUUCAAGAAACUGCAGUCCGUGAUCUAAGAAUCCAAACCGUUCCUGUUUACACCAUUUGCGAAGCCAGCUGUUCACUUCCACUAUUUUCCCCUCUCUCCCUGGACCACGUCGUUCAACUGGGAGGACAGAUGAGAUCACAAUUUGUGCAUUUAAUUGCUUCAAUUUCCUGCCCAGAGCCUCGUAGUCUCUUUUGAUCUUCUGGAGGCUAUUGCUUGCAGUGUCAUUGGUUCCCACAUGAACCAAGAGGAAGGGGUAUUUGUCAGUGGGUUUUAUGAUUCCUUGCAGUCGCUCAGUUACAUCUUGGAUCUUAGCCCCGGGGAGACAGCACACUUCCCGAGACAUCUUGUCAGGCCCACAGAUCACUGCUUCUGUUCCCCUCAGUAGGGAAUCCCCUAUCACCACUACACGCCUCCUCUUAGGUUUGGUCGGGGUUCUUCCGUGAGCUGUCCGCUCCAAGGUCGCCUGCACAUUCCCUGAGGACUGACUUUGCUGCUCGUCUUCAUAUACCUGAUCGACUGUAAUGAGGAGAGAUCCUCAAAUGGAGUCUGCUCUUCGUCUUCCAUGCUAGGGGAGAGGACCUCAAAGCGAUUGUGUAUUUCUAAACAAUCAGAGCGAACCCUGGGCCUCCUACUUCUUUGAGUCACGUUUCUCCAUAUAUCUGGCUCCUGUGUUGGUGAACUAGCGUCCUUCUCAGGGAGUCCCCGUCUCCUCCUUGGUGGAGACGGUGUGCUCUGUUGCUUCCAAGAACAGCUCCAGCUCUCUAAUUCUUUGUAGUGUAGCUACACGUUCCUCCAGUUGCUGGACCUUGUCUUUUAAGAGGGCAAUCGACAUGCAAUUGCUGCAGGUAAAGCUGCCUGCAACCUUUGGCAAGAUGGCAAACAUUGCGCAGGAACCGCAGGCGACUGCAGCUGUUCCCUCCCCUCCAUCUUGUUAACGUGUCGUUGGGGGUGGCUACAGCAGUCCUCCAUCAUAAAAGCGUGGAGACAGGAAAAAUAACUCCCCCACAAAAAACCUAGGUCUCCCCCCACAAACGUUUGAGACUAGCUCCCCUAAAUCUACAAGAUGGAUCAAACUGCACGCACCACUAGGCAGCUAAUCAGCCACAAAGAAACACACACACAAGAAAACCCUUUUUGCUCCUUCUUCAACUGCUGCCCUGCAAUCUCUGAUAAGCUUCUCCCACAGCUAAUCACCUGCCUCAACAGAAACCCUGCCCCCUCUGACCUUUGCACAGGGAGAGCAGCCAAUCAGCCACAAAGAAACACACACACAAGAAAACCCUUUUUGCUCCUUCUUCAACUGCUGCCCUGCAAUCUCUGAAGAUAAACCUAUCUUGAUAAGAUAAACCUAUCUUGUCUUCCUCCAAGAAGGAUUUUAAUAUUUCUUGUGAUCCAUUUCGUAUCGUUUUCAUCACCUGUUUUUGUUGAGUUAUAUUGAUGACCCUGUUUGUUUCCACCAACAUACAACUACAGUGGUACCUCAGGUUACAGAUGCUUCAGGUUACAUACGCUUCAGGUUACAGACUCUGCUAACCCAGAAAUAGUACCUCGGGUUAAGAACAUUGCUUCAGAAUGAGAACAGAAAUCGCACGGUGGCAGCACGGCGGCAGUGGGAGGCCCCAUUAGCUAAAGUGGUGCUUCAGGUUAAGAACAGUUUCAGGUUGAGAAUGGACCUUGAGGAAGAAUUAAGUUCUUAACCCGAGGUACUACUGUAUAGCAAUGUUGGAAGGAAUAUUGUUGGAAGGAAUGCACUGUCUGGGUUCCCACCCAGCCAGCCAGGUUCUCAUUUAUCAUAAUGUACAAACAUUCAUGCUUCUGGUCCAUAAUGGCAUUAUUUAUAAACGACAGAGAAAAAUGGUCAAGGGUAUGGGGAGCAAGCAUUAUGUGACAUUAAAACCUAAACACAAACUAACACAAGAAUGGGCCAAGCUGUAAUCAAAAUAGACCUAACUAUAUCAGGAGUGCUCUGGUACCCUAUCCUUGUUCCAGUCAGAUAUUUUCCUUCAUUGGCUUAGUUUCAUUAAAGGGAGUGCAUUUUUUCUUUUGGGUUUUGUUUUGAAUUGAGGAAAGAAGGUUCAACAAGGUGAUUGCGUGUUGAUCCAUGUUAAAGAGUUUUUAAAAAUACUGCCCUGGAAAGUUGAAUAAUGUUCGUCCAUAAUGCAGGCAAAGGAUGGAAAGUGGCAAUUAUGAUGCAGAAAGAAGAUAUUAUCGAAGGCCAAGACCUCUGAUAUUUCUGAAUUGUUGAUAAAAUAUGGGGGACUGGCUGCUAUUGAACUUUUAUUAAAGCCGAGAUUUAUCUCUGGCAAUUUGAGCCAGCCAACCCAGGCUCAUCCAAAGAUAAAUCAACCCUUUGUAUAAUAUUCUCUGCCUAAGGUAAAUCUGAAGAGGUAGUUCUUCAGAGCUUAGUGGCACAGUGAAUGCACCAUUAAUUAUUCUUCCCUUUCACAUUAUCCAGUGCUCUUAACUUGAGGUAUGGUGUGUUUGAGGACAGAAGACAUCCUGUCAAAAUCAAAGUUCUGUGUCAGCAUUCUGUCUGGGUUCCUCACCACCACUUUUCUCUCUCUCCCAAAGUUUAGUGUUGAAAGACAAAUGCACUUUGGAAGAAGGACCUUGAGGACAGAAGCGGAACGAAAUUUUGGAGGGGAUCAACCUUCCAAGGCAGGAACUCACAUUGUCCACCUGUUGCCAUUGAAAGCUGUACAGUGGGCCAGCAGAUACAAAGGAAAACACGGGGAAUGUGUAUAAAGAAAAAGUUCUAGCACAUUGGCAGGUUCAAAUGUUGAGUAGUAAUAGCAGUAGUACUCAAGGUUUAGGUAAUAUGAAGAAGAAGAAGAAGAAGAAGAAGAAGAAGAAGAAGAAGAAGAGGAGGAGGAGGAGGAGGAGGAGGAGGAGGAGGAGGAGUUUGGAUUUGAUAUCCCGCUUUAUCACUACCCUAAGGAGUCUCAAAACAGCUAACAUUCUACUUUCCCUUCCUCCCCCACAACAAACACUCUGUGAGGUGAGUGGGGCUGAGAGACUUCAGAGAAGUGUGACUAGCCCAAGGUCACCCAGCAGCUGCAUGUGGAGGAGCGGAGACAUGAACCCUGUUUACCAGAUUACGAGUCCACCGCUCUUAACCACUACACCACGCUGGCUUUAUUAACAGUAGCAAUGAAGACAUUAUUGAUUUUUUUUUUUGUCACUUUAUAUUUCCUGUGGCAGCCCAAAGUGACUCAGAACAAAAUGAACAGGCAGACUGAAAACUACACAUAGAUACAUUAAAACCAAGUGGAAAAAAGAAAUACAUUUAAAAACAUCCUGGUUACUUUUAAAAGGCAACAGAUAGUUAAAGGCAAAAUGCCUGGUUAUAGUGGAAAGGUUUUUCCUGGCACCUAAAGAGAUAUAAUUACCUAUGUUGCCAGGUCAGCCUCUCUGGGGAGAGCAUUCCACAAACAGGGAGCCACUGUAGAAAAGGCCUGUUCUCGUGUUGCCACCAUCUAGAACUUUCAUAGAGGAUGCACAUGAAGAACAGCUUCAGAUGGUGAUCGCUGGUUCCGAGUCAGUUCAUAUGGAGAGAGGUGGCCCUUGAGGUGUUGUGGUAUAAAGCUGUGAGGUUAAAACCAGCGCUUUGAAUUGGACCUGGAAACUAAUUGGCAGCUGGUCCAGUCGGGCCAGGAUUGGUGUUAUAUGCUCAAACCACCUUGCCCUGGAGAGCAAGUUAUAGUAAUAACAGUAGUAAAUUAAGCUGAAAUCAGCUGCUUGCUGAGCAUUCAGGAAGCUCCACGCAAAGGACUUUGUGAGCUCUGUGCUUCUCAAAUGCCAACUAUAUGUCUUACACAGCAUUUUCUAAGUGCCUAGUGAUCAGAUGGUAUGUUUGCAUGAAGUUAAACGACUUACUAUCUCAACCGCCCCACAUUCCUGUAAGCAAAAGCAACCCACCAGCAGGGAAUCUGGCAAAGCACUUCUGACAAGAAAGUACUGGGGAGAGAUGCAAUUCUCCAUGAACAUCACUGAAGUCAGUUGCCAUUAGAAGGGACAGUAUUUGCUCUCUCAAUGGGCACAAGUGUCAGUCUGCCUGUUGCCCAUGUAGGUCUUCAGUCCUCUGGUCUUGGCAAGUGUAUGUUAUUGUUUUCCCCAGACAGAUUUGGGCCUCAAACAAAUCUUCACCUUGUGGAAUACUUACAUUUUAAACCAUUAAGUGUGUGCUGUGCUGCAGAAGACAAAACUCUUGGGGAACAGAACAAAUACAGUCUCUUUAAACACCACCCUUCCUCAACCUGAUGCCCUCCAGAUACUUAAUAUUGAUAUGAAUCUUUUGGGGGUGGUCUUCUGGGGCAUGGUGUCAUCAACAUGUAGAAGACAUCCCACUCUACUUCUCUAUACUAACUAAACCAGAUGGAGCUGUCUAGGUGCUUGACUGGUGCCUGCAUGCAGUUAUGGGUUGGAUGAGGACCAAUAAACUAGAGCUAAAUCCUAACAAGACGGAGACAUUGUUUGUAUGUAGUUCAUGGGGUUGAGAACUGGGUGAUCAAACUGUUCUAGAUGAAGUUGCUCUUCCCCUGAGAGAACAGGUUUGUAGCCUGGAGGUAACCAUGGAUCCAGUGCUGUCACUUCAGCCUGUAUACACUGUAGUUUGUUAAGAGUACUGAGAGUAGCAUUAGGAGAAAUGGGGUUAGGAGAACCCUAUUCCCCUCAAACAGCUACAAUUUCCAGAGUUCCCUGGGAAAAUGGGAUUGUUGAACCACAAAAAUAAAUAUUGCAUCUGAAUAUGUGUAAAAGGCUCAAGGUUUUAUUUAUCCUCUUAUUUUGCUCCUUCCAGACAAACCAGCUUGAAUCCUGGCAUAAUUAAUUGGAGAUAAAAGGCUGAAUAUUUAAACUAUUGCUUUUAUUAUAAUUACACUGGCGCACAAAUAAAUAAGCACUAAGUUAUUGUAAAAUAUUGUCAAUGCACGAAAGGAAACAAAGCUGAUUUUCAAACAACAUCUUAUUACUUCAGAAGUAUCAAAGUACAUUUAAUUACAGUUUACUUAAAAAAAGAAUCAAGUACAAAAAUGAAAAGAAAUAAAUAUGUAUUCAUACUGUGUAUAUAGAAAUGGCUAAUAUAUGAUUACAGUUAUCAUCUAGCUACUCCGUACACAUUUCAGGCACAUACCUGACAUUUCUAAUGAAAUAUGAAAAAGCAAUAUGACAUUCAGUUUUAAAAUAUCGGUAAACAUAUUACAUUGGAAUGGACAUGUUACGGUUUCAUUUCCUUUAAAAACCCUGUUGCUUAAAAAUGUAGGGCCAUUGGCCGCUUAAAAAAACCCAACAUACUAUUUAAUACCAUCAGCUAUAAAUUAAGGAGGGGAGCAAUAAAGGAAACAUACAUUUGCUAAUAUACGUAAACACAUUUUUAGUGCAAGAAUUAACAAGACCUGUGACCUUACUGUGCUUUCUUGAAAUCACAGUGCACUUGACACAAAUUGCUACACUAGAAUGUUGAACUUUAGAAAUUUAAAGCAAAGUUAAGUGCAUACCAAACAUUUUCGUAUAUACAGUCAGUAUAAGUGUGUGGGUAUAUAUGUGUGACCUGGAUGUUAGAGAUUGCAUAUUUAAACACAGCUUUUUAUGAGCUCCCCAUGCUAAUCCUCGUCAUUCUCCCUGUACAGAAAUAGGAGAGAAUCAAGAAAAUGCUUAAAUAGGAUUUGGUAGUAGUGGAGGCAUGCUAUUUCUUUGUGAGCAGCACCAUCUCCUUAUAUCAGGAACACCCACUUUUGUGUUUUCAGGAAUGAUGUGUGAUUUGGGAGAGUGAUGGCUUCAUCCCCAAACCAUUUGUGUUUUUCCAAUGUUUUCCUGUCAAACGCUUCAAGGGAUUUUUGGAGCAUUGAACAGGAAUGCCUGCAAAGUCCAAAUGGGUAAUAUCUGCCUGCCCAAUAAAGGGGAAAAAAAUUGAAAUGCCCUGGAAAGUGUGCGAUAGCACUUGCUUUGAUACAACCUCAUCUAAUCACCCUGUAAUCAAAUCUGAAUGACUGCUCAUUAAAUACCCAGUGUUGUCUAAUCUCCCUGCAAACAAAUCAAGAUGAAUCUUCCAUAAACAGGUAAUUACGGAGCAACCCCAGAAUAAGGCAGUGUCCUAUGUUGCUAAGCAUGCCCCAAAAUGUUCAGAGAAUUUCUUUCCCUCACCCCCCACCGAAAAAGCAGCAGAAAAUCUGCCUAUGUUUUUAUAGGGGGGGAUAACGUUUCAUGAACCUUAAGGGUGGGGAAGGAAGACAAAGCUCUACUAUAUAUAUAUAAUCACAGAUGUGCUAAGGCAAGUUACUCCUAUGUAUGAAACGGCAUGCUGAGUCAACAUAACUUCAGAAUGACAACACCACACACAGGUCAGUUUACCAUGAGUUAGAGGACCUGGCUGGUGAGAUCUUUUUACAAAUAGCUGUGGAUACGAUCACUUUACAUUAUAUUUGUGUGAUUAGACAUUUUAGGGCUGAAGAAAGGUUUAAAAACUAAUCUAAGACUUGCUUGGUGGUCUACAGGCAUGUCCAAGGGUGCUGAUUUGUGUUGCUAAGAGCAGCAUUCAUUAAAAUGGCACAUUGUUUCCGGAAUGGCACAUGGGGAUGCAGUGCCUUUCUCAGACUGACUUCAACAAGCCAAGCAACUGAUCCCUGCAAACUGGAAUUUGGAUUUUCCAUGUUACAUAUGCCUACAUCAAUCUUCCAUUGGGAGCUCAAGUCAUUCCCCUAACUUCACCCACAUGAACCUCCAAAACCAUUUCCCAUUCAUCUAUUUCCCUUGUGGCCAAUCAUGUUCUUAUGGCUAAGGAGAAUGAGCACUCUCUCUCCACCCAUUGCCCCUACCCAGUACCUGGUGUUGAUGCAGGCAUAGUAGCAAAUCAGGAACAUUUGAAACACACCUUUUUCAGCAUUCCUGAUACAUAUUAGGGACACUGGGGAAAGCACAUUUCCCAGCAUCCCUCAUGCUCGUCUCCUCAUUUCUGCCAGCAUCAGCACCAAGUAUGCAUAAAGAUCCCCAACAAGAGGAAAAUUCCUCCCUUGUGCCACCAGAACUUAAACAGCCUCAGGAUAAGCAAAUGGGAAUGGAUUUCUGGAGACCUCCUUGCCUUUCUCCCAUCGCUGGAGCAAAUCGAAAGGUGGGUGUCGCAUAGGAUUAAAGCUGGAGACACUUGCAUUUGUGGAGGGAGGAGGUGGAAACAAGUAGGUGAGUCAGAGGGACUCGGUGGCAAGUUGUGGAAGGGCUGUGGCUCAGUGGUAGAGUAUGAGUUUUGCAUGCAGAAGGUCCCAGGUGCUAGCACCUCCAGGUAUGGCUGAAAAUGUCCCCCAUCUGAAACCCUGGAGAACUGCUGCCAAUUAAUGUGGACAGCACUGGUCCAGAUGGAUCAGUGGUCUGACUUGUCGUAAGGUAGAUCCCUAUGUUUCUAACCAAGUGAGGUGCUUGAUGGGCGGGCUAGUGGAUGGAUGGAAGGAUUAGUGAAUUGGAGACAAGUUCUUCUCCAACUGCAAUUCAAAUCCAAGUCAGAAAGAAUUCAAGAGUCAUAGUGCUUGCUGUGCCUUGGAGGUGAGGGUUAUAGGCCCUUCAGGAGUCUCGAUCCCUGUCCAAGUAAUUUCAAAGCUAAAUGCCAUCUCUGUGCAGAAGGAGAAGCAGGAUGACUCUUAGGAGGACAAAUUCUUGGACCGCUCCUGGUUAUCUUAAGAAAUGAAGUCCUGCACACUUCAAAAGAAGUGACAAUUUUGCAGUAUUUCCAAGUAUCUAUUUCAACAUUUUCUUUGCUAAGAAUGUAACGGUACUUUCUUUUGCAUAUAACAUUUUCUUGGAUUGCUUCCAACAUGCUUGUACUUUGUUUUCUGACUUGGGGCAUGUGAGCAGGUGUAAACUAGCAACUGAAUCACAUACCCAUUUUUGCUGCUGCAUAUGCACAGAGUGGCAACAUGCAUGCAUGCGUUUGUGUGUGUGUGUCCUUAUGUUGUGGAUAAAACAUAAAUAAUGAUGCUUGAGUAACUACUAUAUACACUUAUAGACCCCCACACUACUUCUUCUUUUAAAUCUGAUACAGAAAUUGUCAAUUUGGACAUCAAAAUAUACAUUAGUUAUAAAAUAUUUAAAAACUUUAUUUUUUUUAUUUGUCUGGAAAGAAACUACUAUUGGUAAAGUAAUAAUCAAUUUUAUCAAUAUAGAUUACAAAAUAACCUACUAAAAUUUUGUUUCAUUUUUGGUCUUAUUGAUCAGCAGUUGCACUUGUGGCACUGCUGUCAAUAUCAUUUUAAAAGAAAAAAGAAAAAGCCAAUAUGACAAUAAAUUCAAAUGACACAUUUUUCUUCUUCUUCUCAGAGAAUAUAAUAUUCUUAAAAUGAUUGUUAAAAGAGGAACCCUUUCAUGCUGCCAAACUUUUAGAAGCAUCGAUAAAAAUUUAAAUAUAUAAAAUAUAUGUGAUCACAUCAACUCUACGGCAAUAUGGAUUUUUAAAAAUCUUAUCCUACACAGUGCCUUCUAGAAGAUACUUUAAUGCACAGAUCUCACCCUCAUGUACAGCAUAUAAACCAUCUCUUUCUCCUGCUAAAACCAAGAGGUCAUAAUUCUUUGGUCAUGACAUUAUAGUCUAGUAAGAUGGGUGUGAUGUCACAGAGGACUAUGACCCAAUUACAGGAUCAACCAGGAAUACGACAAUGGUUACUUGAGAGAAAUGUGCUCUACAGACCCAAUCCAAAGGGUCAGACUUUCCAAGAUGAAGUCAACCUUUCUCAUUGACUUUAGUGAGAUUUCACACUAACUCAUUCUAUAACUGGACACAAAAUACAAUAUAUUAGAAAAGUAACGUGAACAUUGUGAACGGAUAUUCUUUUUUUUUUGUUACCUUUACUUUCAGGGACCCAAGACAAAUGAGGAUGGGAAUUAUAGCUGCAUUAUCACCAUUUCAACCUGAUAAUGAAUAGAGGAUAACUGAAUCAUGUGAUGUAUACAAUUCCUUAAUCACAGUGAACCCUGGUCUCCAAAAAUCAUCUGAAUAGAAGAAGGAAGAGUUCUCAGUUGAAGUUAACCUUUCUGCAGCAAAGCUAACUCACAUUUCUAGCUAAACUACUUGAUCCGUUUUGCUCAAGACGUUCACCCUGAUCCAGAUGGUUGAUCCAUGUGAAGUAGUCUAUUUCUUUGUGCAGAUCCUCCU